UGGGGAAUUUUGCACAAUGGGGGAAACCCUGAUGCAGCGACGCCGCGUGAUUUAGAAGGCCUUCGGGUUGUAAAAAUCUUUUUUACGGGAUGAAAAUGACAGUACUAUACGAAUAAGGACCGGCUAAUUACGUGCCAGCAGCCGCGGUAAUACGUAAGGUCCGAGCGUUGUCCGGAAUCAUUGGGCGUAAAGGGUACGUAGGCGGGUAAGCAAGUUAGAAGUGAAAUCCUAUAGCUCAACUAUAGUAAGCUUUUAAAACUGCUCAUCUUGAGGUAUGGAAGGGAAAGUGGAAUUCCUAGUGUAGCGGUGAAAUGCGCAGAUAUUAGGAGGAAUACCGGUGGCGAAGGCGACUUUCUGGCCAUAACCUGACGCUGAGGUACGAAAGCGUGGGUAGCAAACAGG
rnacentral:rRNA from 1 species